UGACGUUUUUCGGAAUGUAAAGUGCUUUCAGUCGGGAAGAAGUCAGUGACGGUACCGACAGAAGAAGCGACGGCUAAAUACGUGCCAGCAGCCGCGGUAAUACGUAUGUCGCAAGCGUUAUCCGGAUUUAUUGGGCGUAAAGCGCGUCUAGGCGGCAAGGAAAGUCUGAUGUGAAAAUGCGGAGCUCAACUCCGUAUGGCGUUGGAAACUGCCUUACUAGAGUACUGGAGAGGUAGGCGGAACUACAAGUGUAGAGGUGAAAUUCGUAGAUAUUUGUAGGAAUGCCGAUGGGGAAGCCAGCCUACUGGACAGAUACUGACGCUAAAGCGCGAAAGCGUGGGUAGCAAACAGGAUUAGAUACCCUGGUAGUCCACGCUGUAAACGAUGAUUACUAGGUGUUGGGGGUCAAACCUCAGCGCCCAAGCUAACGCGAUAAGUAAUCCGCCUGGGGAGUACGUACGCAAGUAUGAAACUC
rnacentral:rRNA from 1 species